rnacentral:rRNA from 1 species
CGAACGCACCUUCGGGUGUUAUUAGAGUGGCGGACGGGUGAGUAACACGUGGGGACCUACCUCUUAGUGGGGGAUAACGGUUGGAAACGACCGCUAAUACCGCAUACGCCCUUCGGGGGAAAGAUUUAUCGCUAAGAGAUGGACCCGCGUUGGAUUAGAUAGUUGGUGAGGUAACGGCUCACCAAGUCAGCGAUCCAUAGCUGGUUUGAGAGGAUGAUCAGCCACACUGGGACUGAGACACGGCCCAGACUCCUACGGGAGGCAGCAGUGGGGAAUAUUGGACAAUGGGGGCAACCCUGAUCCAGCCAUGCCGCGUGAGUGAAGAAGGCCUUCGGGUUGUAAAGCUCUUUCAGAUGCGAAGAUGAUGACGGUAACAUCAGAAGAAGCCCCGGCUAAUUUCGUGCCAGCAGCCGCGGUAAUACGAAAGGGGCUAGCGUUGUUCGGAUUUACUGGGCGUAAAGGGCACGCAGGCGGUCUUGCCAGUCAGGGGUGAAAGCCCGAGGCUCAACCUCGGAACUGCCUCUGAUACUGUAAGACUUGAGACUAGGAGAGGGUGGUGGAAUUCCCAGUGUAGAGGUGAAAUUCGUAGAUAUUGGGAGGAACACCAGAGGCGAA